rnacentral:misc_RNA from 1 species
GAUGAAGAACGCAGCGAAAUGCGAUAAGUAAUGUGAAUUGCAGAAUUCAGUGAAUCAUCGAAUCUUUGAACGCACAUUGCGCCCUCUGGUAUUCCGGGGGGCAUGCCUGUUCGAGCGUCAUUAUAACCACUCAAGCUCUCGCUUGGUAUUGGGGCUCGCGGUUCCGCGGCCCCUAAAAUCAGUGGCGGUGCCUGUCGGCUCUACGCGUAGUAGUACUCCUCGCGAUUGAGUCCGGUAGGUCUACUUGCCAGCAACCCCCAAUUUUUACAGGUUGACCUCGGAUCAGGUAGGGAUACCCGCUGAACUUAAGCAUAUCAAUAAGCGGAGGA